AUUGAACGCUGGCGGCAGGCCUAACACAUGCAAGUCGAGCGGCAGCACAAGGGAGUUUACUCCUGAGGUGGCGAGCGGCGGACGGGUGUGUAAUGCCUAGGGAUCUGCCCAGUCGAGGGGGAUAACAGUUGGAAACGACUGCUAAUACCGCAUACGCCCUACGGGGGAAAGAGGGGGACCUUCGGGCCUCUCGCGAUUGGAUGAACCUAGGUGGGAUUAGCUAGUUGGUGAGGUAAUGGCUCACCAAGGCGACGAUCCCUAGCUGUUCUGAGAGGAUGAACAGCCACACUGGGACUGAGACACGGCCCAGACUCCUACGGGAGGCAGCAGUGGGGAAUAUUGCACAAUGGGGGAAACCCUGAUGCAGCCAUGCCGCGUGUGUGAAGAAGGCCUUCGGGUUGUAAAGCACUUUCAGUAGGGAGGAAAGGGUGAGUCUUAAUACGGCUCAUCUGUGACGUUACCUACGGAAGAAGGACCGGCUAACUCCGUGCCAGCCGCCGCGGUAA
rnacentral:rRNA from 1 species